GGGUAAAACUUGAAAGCCAGCCCUGGGACGCAGCUUUGCUACAGGCACUGCAGAUGGUGUCGGUGGCUUGAAUUUCACCCAGGGGUCUGUAGAAGGGGAUCCAUUUUGGGAUGGCAUUCGGGACGCACUUUUAGGUUCUCCUUCAGAUGAAACCCAAGACUGCCAUCACCCCAAACCUAUCCUCUUAAGCACAGGAGAGAUGAAUGUACCCCAUCCAUGGCGUCCUGCUAUUGUUGAUGUCCAGAUGAUUACUAUUGGGUCCCUGGAGAUUAUACACACUGCACAACCUAAUUGUGUGAUUUAAAAGUUUAACAGGCUUUCAAUUGAAAUGUGUCCGUUCAGUGAGACCUUAA